rnacentral:rRNA from 1 species
UACGUAGGGGGCUAGCGUUGUCCGGAUUUAUUGGGCGUAAAGAGCGUGUAGGCGGCCAAGUAGGUCCGGUGUGAAAACUCGAGGCUUAACCUCGAGAUGUCAUCGGAAACCAUUUGGCUAGAGUCCGGAAGAGGAAAGUGGAAUUCCUGGUGUAGCGGUGAAAUGCGUAGAGAUGUGGAGGAACACCGAUGGCGAAGGCAGCCCCCUGGGUUAACACUGACGCUCAGGCACGAAAGCGUGGGGAGCAAACAGG